GAUGAAGAACGUAGCGAAAUGCGAUAAGUAAUGUGAAUUGCAGAAUUCAGUGAAUCAUCGAAUCUUUGAACGCAUCUUGCGCUCCUUGGUAUUCCGAGGAGCAUGCCUGUUUGAGUGUCAUUUUAACUUCUCAACCAUAUCGAAUUGUUUUUCGAGGUGGCUUGGACAUGGGGGUUUUUGCAGGCUUUAAUAAUGAAGUCGGCUCCUCUGGAAUGCAUUAGUGGUAUCUGAAGCAGAACUGCUACUAUUAGGUGUGAUAAUUAUCUAUGCCUCUUGGUAUACUGCAUGAACAGAUUGCGCUGCUUCCAACUUGUACACCCUUUGGUGUUUGACAAAUUUGACCUCAAAUCAGGUAGGACUACCCGCUGAACUUAAGCAUAUCAAUAAGCGGAGGA
rnacentral:misc_RNA from 1 species